GGACCAGUAAUUGCUGAAUAAUGUGGAACUUCGGUAAAGUUCCAAAUCUGCAUCUUGGAGCAGUGUUUGACAUUUCGGUUAAGACCGAAAUGAAAUCUCUCCUUAUUUGCUGGUUUUCAGCUUAAACUGACCAAAAGCAGCCGAAACCCUUUCUUUCAUUUGACACUUCAAACCCUGAUCCCUUGUUUUUCACAAUAAAUAUAAUCCUUGACAGGUAAAAUAGUCCUUAUUAUGGUACUUUACAAAGAUUAUUAUAAAUAAUUAAGAAAGAAAUUUUACAUAAUUAAAUGUAACAUUCCAUAACUACAUGGAUUGGUGGUGUGCUAUCUUGUUAUUAUCCCUAUCCCUGUUAAUUUUCUCACCUACAUGAUGAUGAUGGCCACCAAUAUUUAUGUGACCCACCUUGCAAUGGUACGUUGUAUUUAAUAGGUAAUUCUAAUUUAUUUUAUUUUAUACAAUUACGUACUUAUUUGGUUUGUUUUUGCUUGAUUGAGUGAUAUUAGUAUUGGUAUAUUACUCAAAGGAUCGGACAAAGCUAUCAAUCUUCAAUUUAUUUUAAACUCAGGCCAAAAUGAUCUGAAUCUUAUGAUUUCAGAUAACCUAAAACAUAAUCAAAUGAUAUGAGAUAUCAUGUCUUGAGUUUUUAUUCUUUUUCUUAUUUUCUAUUUUUGGAUUUUUCUUGACCUUUUUUGACUGAAAUUCAUAUUGAACUAUCAAAUUGCCGAAUGUGCU
rnacentral:lncRNA from 1 species